AAACGAUAAUUAAAAUUAAUAGUAAUUAAAAAACGUUUCAAAAAUGCAAAUCAAUAUCCUUUUAUUCAGAAAAUAUUUUAAGUUAAGAGAUUUAAUCAAAUAUAAAUCACACGAAUCACAUUGCUUGACUUAAAGGAAAUUUCAAUUAAUACAGAAUACACGACUAGAUAAUAGUAUACUAAUACUACACGAGUAGGAUAUUAAUAUAGAGGGACCUAAAAACUGAUGAAGUAAACAAUUUAUAAAUUAUGUUUUCUGUCAAUUAUUCUCUUAUUUUCAAAUGGUAUUUAUUAUUGGCAUUUAAAUCACAUCACGAAAAAAAACUUCGUCUCUAACGUAUAAUAUCUGAAAGAAUUUAUAAUAUGCAAUCAAAAAAUUUUUAAAAACUUUCUUAAAUCAGCUUGGACUAAGUACAUGCAUGACCUUCCUGAGAUUUCUUUUCUGAAAUCAAAAAAAUGUUUGGUUGUUCAUCACUCUAGACUUAACUUACCCAGAUUUCAACUUAAAAGUGUGAAACACAUAAACGAAUAUAAUUUAAAGUUCAGUGUCCAACAUUUUGACCAAUGCUUUUCGAUUUGGCUGUUGAUUCCGAAGACGCGGAAUAUCUGGAAAAUUUAAUGAUUUCUCGAAUAUAGUACCUUUGGAGCAACAGUACCGGGGCAACUGCAAUAAGGAGAUUACGGUGAAUCAAUAUUCAAUUAAAAUUUAAAAUGUAGAAAAUUAUGCGUUCAAUAUUAGCAAAGUGAUUAGUUCAUUGAAAUUAAUAUAUUUUUACUAAUAUUCAAAUUAAAUUAUAUUAAUGAUAACUAUA